GAAAUGCGAUAAGUAAUGUGAAUUGCAGAAUUCAGUGAAUCAUCGAAUCUUUGAACGCACAAUGCGCCCCCUGGUAUUCCGGGGGGCAUGCCUGUUCGAGCGUCAUUUCACCACUCAAGCCUCGCUUGGUAUUGGGCGACGCGGUCCGCCGCGCGCCUCAAAUCGACCGGCUGGGUCUUUCGUCCCCUCAGCGUUGUGGAAACUAUUCGCUAAAGGGUGCCGCGGGAGGCCACGCCGUAAAACAACCCCAUUUCUAAGGUUGACCUCGGAUCAGGUAGGGAUACCCGCUGAACUUAAGC
rnacentral:misc_RNA from 1 species